GAUGAACGCUAGCGGCAGGCUUAACACAUGCAAGUCGAGGGGUAACAGUCCCGUUCUUCGGAAUGGGAGCUGACGACCGGCGCACGGGUGAGUAACGCGUAUGCAACCUACCUUUAACAGGAGGAUAGCCCCGAGAAAUCGGGAUUAAUACUCCAUAACUUUUAUGAACUGCAUGGUUUAUAGAAUAAAGUUUCGGCGGUUAAAGAUGGGCAUGCGUGACAUUAGCUAGUUGGUGAGGUAACGGCUCACCAAGGCAUCGAUGUCUAGGGGUUCUGAGAGGAUUAUCCCCCACACUGGUACUGAGACACGGACCAGACUCCUACGGGAGGCAGCAGUGAGGAAUAUUGGUCAAUGGGCGAGAGCCUGAACCAGCCAUGCCGCGUGCAGGAAGACGGUUCUAUGAAUUGUAAACUGCUUUUCUACAGGAAGAAACCACCUUACGAGUAAGGUGUUGCCGGUACUGUAGGAAUAAGCAUCGGCUAACUCCGUG
rnacentral:rRNA from 1 species